rnacentral:miRNA from 1 species
CUAGAUCUCUGUUUGCCUCCC